UAGCCGUAAACGAUACUCGCUAGGUGUCGGCCACGGUGCGACCGCUGUCGGUGCCGUAGGGAAGCCGUGAAGCGAGCCACCUGGGAAGUACGGCCGCAAGGCUGAAACUUAAAGGAAUUGGCGGGGGGAGCACCACAACGGGUGGAGCUUGCGGUUUAAUUGGAUUCAACGCCGGAAAUCUUACCGGGACCGACAGCAACAUGAAGGCCAGGCUGAAGACUUUGCCGGAUUAGCUGAGAGGAGGUGCAUGGCGUAGUCGUGU
rnacentral:rRNA from 1 species